GGGCCGGUAGCUUAGUUAGGCAGAGCGACGGGCUCUUAACCCGUAGGCCAGGGGUUCAAAUCCCUUCCGGCCCG
rfam:Candidatus Syntrophoarchaeum caldarius isolate BOX2 BOX2_8_reassembly_contig01, whole genome shotgun sequence.